UUAAGCCCCAGUAAACGGCGGUGGUAACUAUAACCAUCCUAAGGUAGCGAAAUUCCUUGUCGGGUAAGUUCCGACCUGCACGAAUGGCGUAACGACUUCUCCGCUGUCUCAACCGCGAACUCGGUGAAAUUGCAGUACGAGUAAAGAUGCUCGUUUCGCGCAGAAGGACGGAAAGACCCCGGGACCUUUACUAUAGCUUGGUAUUGGUGUUCGCUUGGACUUGUGUAGGAUAGGUGGGAGACUGUGAAGCUGCCGCGCCAGCGGUGGUGGAGUCGUCGUUGAAAUACCAUUCUGGUUUAAGCGGUCACCUUAACCUUGGCCCGUGAUCCGGGUUGGGGACAGUGCCUGGUGGGUAGUUUAACUGGGGCGGUUGCCUCCUAAAAUGUAACGGAGGCGCUCAAAGGUUCCCUCAGCCUGGUUGGUAAUCAGGUGGCGAGUGCAAGUGUACAAGGGAGCUUGACUGUGAGACCGACGGGUCGAGCAGGUGCGAAAGCAGGAACUAGUGAUCCGGCCAUGGCACGUGGGUGCGUGGUCGCUCAACGGAUAAAAGGUACCCCGGGGAUAACAGGCUGAUCUUGCCCAAGAGUCCAUAUCGACGGCAUGGUUUGGCACCUCGAUGUCGGCUCGUCGCAUCCUGGGGCUGGAGUUGGUCCCAAGGGUUGGGCUGUUCGCCCAUUAAAGCGGUACGCGAGCUGGGUUCAGAACGUCGUGAGACAGUUCGGUCCCUAUCCUCUGUGCGCGCAGGAAAUUUGAGGAGGGCCGUCCCUAGUACGAGAGGACCGGGAUGGACGAACCUCUGGUGUGCCAGUUGUACCGCCAGGUGCAUGGCUGGUUAGCUACGUUCGGAAGGGAUAACCGCUGAAAGCAUCUAAGCGGGAAGCCUGCUCCAAGAUGAGGUUUCCACGCCCCCCCGUGGGGUGAGAGGCCCCCGCCAGACGAGCGGGUUGAUAGGCCAGAGGUGGAAGCACCGCGAGGUGCUCGUGAGCCGACUGGUACUAAUGGGCCAACACUAAACAAC
rnacentral:rRNA from 1 species